AUCAGAUGGGGGAAAAAAACCAAAACACUCAAAAAACAAUGCCUUGAACUGUAACUUGUUUGUUUGACUUUCACUGCACUGGAGCAUGGAAUUAAUUCAAAGUGUAAUUCCAUUGGCUUCAGUGGUGUUGUUCCUGACUUCUGCCUGUGUGAGAGGAGUACUGGGACAUCAGGAUGCAUAACAGCUGUGAAGUCCAGAGGAUGAAAACUUUGAUUUUGAAGCAUGCACAACUUCGCCUAAUUGCCUCUAAUCCUCAUCAGGAGUAGUUAGCACUGUAGAAAGAAGAAGAUCUUUCCGUCUUUUUGAGCUUCCAUCUGAAAUCUCCCCAGUCAUCUAAGGAGCCUGGCAGAGUCUUCUGCUAUUCACCGGGAGACUGGGAGAAAGCAAUCCAGAGGAGCAGUGAUGCAGCACUUUUUGGGGAUGCAGAAACUUGCUGCCCACCACACGGCCCUGGAUUCGCACCUGGCGGAGAGGAAGCAAACCAUUUGGGACCUGACUCUGCAUGAGGGGCCUCCUUCCUGCUCAGUCUCAGUUAUGUGAUUGGCUCCAUUGACUCCUGGGGGUAAGCACUGCUAAGCAUAAGGGCUGCAGGGUUGAAUCCUUGAACAGAAGCUGUAAAACACUUUGCUGUUUGUGAAGCCAUUCAAAAUAAAAGUCCUUGUGGUGUUGCUGACUGGGCCCCAUUUUUCUCGCAGCGCUAGAAACCUGUUAUUAUUG